rnacentral:lncRNA from 3 species
ACUCUUGCCAAGAGGAGGUACCUUGGUAGCGCCCUCAGGAGGGUUACGGUGUUCAAAGGUGUAAUUGUUGCCGUCCCAGUGCAACAUUGGGCGAGGCUUUUGCCUAGAACCCCCUACAACAUUGACCGUGGUUCGUCACCCAUCAUCUCAGUUUCCACCAUCCAAACCCCGAGCAACUGUCUGCCCAAGCCAGGCGGUGAAUCCGCCACUGAUCAUAGGGCCUCCGCCACAUGGGACCAACAACCCUCCGCAAGCCAAUUUCCAGUCCUACUAUCAGCAAGACCGCUGUUGUGCACUGCUAUUAGCACCCUUUAGCGUGCUGCGG